rnacentral:rRNA from 1 species
UGCCAGCCGCCGCGGUAAUACAGAGGGUGCAAACGUUGCUCGGAAUUACUGGGCGCAAAGAGCAUGUAGGCGGUUCAGUAAGUCGACUGUGAAAGCCCUGGGCUCAACCCAGGAAGUGCAGCCGAUACUGCUAAACUGGAGUCCCGUAGAGGAUGGUGGAAUUCCCAGUGUAGAGGUGAAAUUCGUAGAUAUUGGGAGGAACACCGGUGGCGAAGGCGGCCAUCUGGACGGGUACUGACGCUGAGAUGCGAAAGCGUGGGGAGCAAACAGGAUUAGAUA